UACGUAGGUGGCAAGCGUUGCUCGGAAUCACUGGGCGUAAAGGGUGCGUAGGCGGGUCUUUAAGUCAGGGGUGAAAUCCUGGAGCUCAACUCCAGAACUGCCUUUGAUACUGAAGAUCUUGAGUUCGGGAGAGGUGAGUGGAACUGCGAGUGUAGAGGUGAAAAUUCGUAGAUAUUCGCAAGAACACCAGUGGCGAAGGCGGCUCACUGGCCCGAUACUGACGCUGAGGCACGAAAGCGUGGGGAGCAAACAGG
rnacentral:rRNA from 1 species